rnacentral:lncRNA from 1 species
CACGACCGAACAACCUUGCCAACAAACUCAAAUGAGCUCUCAAAAAUCGAACACCCAACUUAUCCCAAGCUUUGCUCGAUCUACACCAUUUGGGUUAGGAUCUGCUAGGUUUCGUGAACGAAAAGCAGUUGGGUUUCAAGGCUUUUCAUGGCUUAUUUUGCUGGGUAAAAUAGAGCUAUUUUUGUCGGGUUUAGAGUGCUGAUUUUGGGCAGCAGCUCUAAUGGCUUUGGAGUUGCGUUUUUUGUGGCUAGUUUUGUGUGGGUUGAGGUUCGUUUUUUGGAGGAAGAAGACAAGCAACAGCUGUUGUGUUUCUGUCGCACAAAGCAACUGCUUCGCUGCUUCUUUGAACUGCUUUAGGAACUAAAACUCACUUGGCUGGUUUUCAGUGGAGUUCUUGGCAGAUUUUCAUGGUGAUUUUAGUGGAGUUUUCAUGGCUUAAAUGGUGAGGGUUUGGAGACGGGAUGCUGAAGGAAAAAAGGGGUCAUUUUUUUUCUGUCAGAAUGAAAAAGGAAGAAGCUAUAUCUAGAUGGAGGGGUCUGUUUUUGUGAGCUACAGCUCUA